AUAAGAUACGCUGCAAAUCCAUUAUUUGAGAUUCAAUUUACCUUGACAUAAAUUGGCAUAAGAGGAGUAGUUUUUCAGCUAGGGAAAUCAGGUUUUUGAAUCUCUCAUAGUACAAUAGUAAGAAGCAUCAACUAGAAAGAAUGCUUGUCUGGAUCUAGUUAUAACGAACAAUGGUGAUCGUUGGUCAAACAUUCAAGUAUAGGUGCU